rnacentral:rRNA from 1 species
UACGAGUGCUUCAAGCGUUAUCCGGAAUCAUUGGGCGUAAAGGGUGUGUAGGUGGUUUUGUUAGUCUCGCGUUAAAUCUACCGGCUCAACCGGUAGGCCGCGUGGGAAACGGCAAGACUAGAGGACGGAAGGGGUCUCUGGAACUCAUGGUGUAGCGGUGAAAUGCGUUGAUAUCAUGGGGAACACCGAAAGCGAAGGCAAGAGACUGGUCCGCUCCUGACACUGAAACACGAAAGCGUGGGUCGCGAAUGGG